GACGAACGCUAGCUGCGGGCCUAAUACAUGCAAGUAGAAGGCACGGUUUAUACCGUAGCUUGCUACACCAUAGACUGUGAGUUACGGACGGGUGAGUAACGCGUAGGUAACCUGCCUCGUAGCGGGGGCUCACCAAUGGAAACGAUAGCUACUACCGCAUAAUAUUGAUUAUUGCAGGUUAAUUCAUUGAAAGGUGCAAUUGCACCACUACCAGCUGGACCUGCGUUGUAUUAGCUAGUAGGGGAGGUAACGGCCCACCUAGGCGAGGAUGCAUAGCCGACCGGGGAGGGUGAGCAGCCACACUGAGACUGAGACACGGCCCAGACUCCUACGGGAGGCAGCAGUAGGGAAUCGGAGGCUAUGGACGAGAGUCUGACCGAGCAACGCCGAGUGAGUGAAGAAGGUGGUCGGAUCGUGAAGUUCUGUUGUAAGUGAAGAGCGGGUGUGAGAGUGGAAGGUUCACACUGUGACGGUAUCGUACCAGAAAGGGACGGCUAACUCCGUG
rnacentral:rRNA from 1 species